UACGUAGGGUGCAAGCGUUGUCCGGAAUUAUUGGGCGUAAAGAGCUCGUAGGCGGUUCGUCGCGUCGGCUGUGAAAUCCCGAGGCUCAACCUCGGGUCUGCAGUCGAUACGGGCGGACUGGAGUUCGGCAGGGGAGACUGGAAUUCCUGGUGUAGCGGUGAAAUGCGCAGAUAUCAGGAGGAACACCGGUGGCGAAGGCGGCACUCUGGGCCGGUACUGACGCUGAGGAGCGAAAGCGUGGGGAGCGAACAGG
rnacentral:rRNA from 1 species